GGGGAUGUAUCGUUUCGACAGGAUAGCACAUUAAAAACUGCAAGCCGAAUAUGAUUCUAAAGUGCGCAGUCUUUGAAUCAACCUUACGUGCAAAGGAAAAAGCACAAAACGGUUUGUUCGCCUUUUUAGGCGGCCAACCGGCAUUAGCUCUUGCUGCAUAAGCAUUAGCUAUUGCUAUCUCUCAAGUUUUUUCUCGACGGGACUUUUGGGGUAACAACUUAGCCGAGAGUAGAUGAGUUAAUCUGAUCAGUUAACGAUUCGAAACUUUGAUCUUUGUUUAUAUUUAGCCUUUUUGCCGGCCACAAAUUUAGACGAGACUUUAUAGACAAAAUAAGCUUGUAGAUGUUUUUGAUUUGUUUUCUUGGACCCGAGCUCAAUACUCGGCAUCUCCACCA
rnacentral:tmRNA from 1 species